rnacentral:rRNA from 1 species
GAUGAACGCUGGCGGCAUGCCUAAUACAUGCAAGUCGAACGAAAACACGGGGAGCUUUCUCCCCUGACGGUAUCGGGGGACGGGUGAGGAACUCAUGGAUAGCCUACCUAUAAGACUGGGGUAAUAACGCGGGACAGUAUCUAAUAACGAAUAAUAUAUUGAACUUGAUUGUGCAAGAGUUGAAGACGGUUUUUCUGACAGUAAUAGAUGAAUACGCGCAGGAUUAGCUAGUUGGUAAAGUAACGGCUUACCAAGGCUACGAUGCGUAGACGACCCGAGAGCGUGAUUCGCUACACUGGAACUGAGACACGGUACAGACUCCUACGGGAGGAAGCAGCAGGGACUCUUACGCAAUGGGCGAAAGCCUGAUGUAGCACCGCCGCGUGAGUGAUGAAGGACUUAGGAUCGUAAAACUCUGUUAUUCGGAAAGAUCAAAUGCGUAUUUACCUAUGCUCGUCUUGACGGUACCUAAACAAUAAGCCACGGCUAACUCCGUG